rnacentral:rRNA from 1 species
UACGAAGGGGGCGAGCGUUAUUCGGAAUCACUGGGCGUAAAGCGUGCGUAGGCUGUUCAGAAAGUCAGGAGUGAAAGCCCAAGGCUCAACCUUGGAAGUGCUCUUGAAACUUCUGGACUAGAAUUCAGGAGAGGAUAGCGGAAUUCCCAGUGUAGCAGUGAAAUGCGUAGAUAUCCGGAGGAACACCAAAGGCGAAGGCAGUGUCCUGGGGAGUACCUGACGCUCAGGUGCGAAAGCCAGGGGAGCGAACGGG